CACCUACAGAGGAUAAAGCUACAAAAGAGAAAGGAGUACCAGAUUUUUGGCUCACUGCAAUAAAAAUCAAUGAAGUGGUUGGUGAGGAGAUUUCUGAGCGCGAUGAAGGGGCUCUCAAGUAUCUCAAAGAUAUCAAGUGGUUCAGAAUUAAUGAUCCUAAAGGCUUCAAGCUCGAAUUCUUCUUUGAUCCUAACCCAUGAUUGACGA